UUGGGCGUCGAGCGGCGGACGGGUGAGUAAUGCCUAGGAAAUUGCCUUGAUGUGGGGGAUAACCAUUGGAAACGAUGGCUAAUACCGCAUAAUGCCUACGGGCCAAAGAGGGGGAUCUUCGGACCUCUCGCGUCAAGAUAUGCCUAGGUGGGAUUAGCUAGUUGGUGAGGUAAUGGCUCACCAAGGCGACGAUCCCUAGCUGGUCUGAGAGGAUGAUCAGCCACACUGGAACUGAGACACGGUCCAGACUCCUACGGGAGGCAGCAGUGGGGAAUAUUGCACAAUGGGCGAAAGCCUGAUGCAGCCAUGCCGCGUGUAUGAAGAAGGCCUUCGGGUUGUAAAGUACUUUCAGUUGUGAGGAAGGGGGUGUCGUUAAUAGCUGUAUAUCUUGACGUUAGCAACAGAAGAAGCACCGGCUAACUCCGUGCCAGCAGCCGCGGUAAUACGGAGGGUGCGAGCGUUAAUCGGAAUUACUGGGCGUAAAGCGCAUGCAGGUGGUUCAUUAAGUCAGAUGUGAAAGCCCGGGGCUCAACCUCGGAACUGCAUUUGAAACUGGUGAACUAGAGUGCUGUAGAGGGGGGUAGAAUUUCAGGUGUAGCGGUGAAAUGCGUAGAGAUCUGAAGGAAUACCAGUGGCGAAGGCGGCCCCCUGGACAGACACUGACACUCAGAUGCGAAAGCGUGGGGAGCAAACAGGAUUAGAUACCCUGGUAGUCCACGCCGUAAACGAUGUCUACUUGGAGGUUGUGGCCUUGAGCCGUGGCUUUCGGAGCUAACGCGUUAAGUAGACCGCCUGGGGAGUACGGUCGCAAGAUUAAAACUCAAAUGAAUUGACGGGGGCCCGCACAAGCGGUGGAGCAUGUGGUUUAAUUCGAUGCAACGCGAAGAACCUUACCUACUCUUGACAUCCAGAGAAGCCAGCGGAAAACGCAGGUGUGCCUUCGGGAACUCUGAGACAGGUGCUGCAUGGCUGUCGUCAGCUCGUGUUGUGAAAUGUUGGGUUAAGUCCCGCAACGAGCGCAACCCUUAUCCUUGUUUGCCAGCGAGUAAUGUCGGGAACUCCAGGGAGACUGCCGGUGAUAAACC
rnacentral:rRNA from 1 species